AGUAAUGUUCAUUGGGCUAAACCCAAUUUGCCCUAAGAAAACAAAAUAACAAUAGGUAGCAGGCCAUCAUCUGUUUAGCCUACACAAAACAAAACAAAAAAGAGAAAAUAAAUGAAAUUUUAAAUUGCUUCCAGCCGAACAGUCAGUUGGUCCUCAUAAAUGAUUCUGACUUUUCCUCUGCCCAAGACCACUGAAACGUAAAAGCAUAUCUUCUCAAAUCUUUUCCUUGUCAAUUUGCUUUUCAGAACAGUGCUAUUUCCUACCAUUUCAAGCAUCGCCCCAUAUUACUGAAAGCUGAGGUCUUCCCAUUUUCUUUUACUCUGAAGAACCCAGAUGAUUUGGCUCUGAUUCUCUUCUAGAUGAUCUUAAGGUCUCUCCCUCCAGGUACUGUUCCUCUCCCUUCUUAAGUGUUUCUUUUGCUAGACGAUGGGCUUCUGUGUUUUCUAACCUCGGGAUAAAAUAGAAUCUGAUUUCUUGAUACUGAUCCUUUAAGCUUUGAAUAUCACUGAUUAUUGCCCCUAUUUCUGAUAUGUCUCGACUUGUAUUUUGGCAUUUUGUAAUCACUGUUCUUGAGUCUCCGGUUAUAUCUAAAGUAUGAUAGCCCAACUGAAUCCCUAACCUUAUUGCUUGUAAACCUGCAAAUGCUUCUGCCGCGAAUGGAGAUGCAAUAUUUUCAUGAAGGGUCGACUUUACUGCAACGAUCCUACCUUCCUCAUUUCUAACAACUAGGCCUGACGCAGAUCUGGAAUUCUGUAAGUCGAAAGCCACAUAAAAAAAAAAGAUGGCCUUUUUCGCCCUUUGUAAACUUUGUCUAUGCCUCACACUAGUUUCCACGUUGAGUUCCUUAUCUCUACUCCCUUCCAGUUCCAGAAUAUAGCUUUUUAUUUGUUUGGAGAUAUCUCUGCUAGUGCUUGAUCUGUUUUCAUAUAAUAAUUUAUUUCUGUUUGUCCAGAUUAACCAGAGCCCGCAACAGAAAUCCCUGCACUGUUCGUUUGUCCCUUGGCUGAAAACCCAAGUAAGCCAACUCCAGAUAUCCAAAUGACUAUUGUUGAGUAUCCAUGAAAAAUUUAAGUGACUCCAUAUUUCCUUUGCUGUAGGGCACAGAUGGAAAACAUGGAAACUAUCUUCUCCUUCCUGACCGCAUCUCGAACAUCGAUCCUCAGCCAUCACUUUUCGCAGCUCUAGAUUGGAGAAAAUGGGAAUGUAAUUCCACGCUAUUUUUCAUACUGUAAUCUUGAUUUUUAAGGGCAUAUGUAAAUUCCAUAGUUUUCUGUAGAAAUUUUUAGUAUCGGUCUGUAAAUAAACACUAGGAUCAAUUGUAGCUUUCUGUAAUAGUAUAUAGGCACUCCUUACUGAAAAGUCACCAGUUGCCUCCCCUCUCCAUACUUGGAUGUCUUUAUGGAUUAACUUUGAAAGCGGAAUCUGUAGUAUUUUCCUAGUGAUAUCCGAGUUAAAGGUACGGACAAUCAAGUGUCUAUUCCAUGUUCUGCUUUCCUCAUUGAUUAAGUCAAACACUACUCUAAUAUUUUUAAUGUUGCUGUUAUUCUGUAUUCUGUCUACAGUCAUUCUCGGCACCCAUAGAUCAUUCCAUACUGAAAUGUGGUCUCAUUUACCAACUCUUUAGCAUAAUCCAUCUGUGAGGAGUUUUUUUGUUGACCAAAUACUCCUCCAGGUAAGUGAAGGUAAGUUACUCAAAAAAGCAUUUAAGAAGUUUGUUGUUGAAAAAUAUUUCACUUUUAAAACUUGGGCUAAUAAAGAACUCGGAUAAUUAAAAAGACGCCAACCCUGUUUUGCCAGCAAAGCUAUGUUAAAUUUAUCAAGACUUCUAAAACCUAACCCACCCAAUUCUUUUUCAAUGCAAAUAUCCUCCCAAGCACACUAAUGGAUCUCUCUUUUUUCCCCUUAUUUUUCUGCCACCAAAAUUUUGCAAUAAUACCAUCUAAUUCCUUGAAAAAAGAUUUAGGGAGUAAAAAACACGUCAUUGAGUAGGUUGGUAUAGAUUGUAAAACAGCUUUGAUGAAAACCUCUUUACCUCCUUGUGAGAGAUAUCUGAUACUCCAAUUGUCAAUUCGUUGCUUGAAUCUAUCCUUCAGCAUCUGGAACGCUGCCUUAUUCCUUCUACCCACCAGGCUAGGUAGCCCUAAAUAUCUUUCCAUAUCAUCUGAACUUCGUACCCCAAUAACUCGAAUAAUUGUUCUUCUUUCUCCUUCCUAAGUAUUGCUGCUGAAAAAAAUUGUGGAUUUUGAAAAGUUAACUUUCUGACCCGAGCAAAUUUCAUAUUCACGGAUGACCUGUUUUAAAAAAAAUUAAACCCCUCUCAGUAGCUUCCCCAAACAGUAUGCAAUCAUUCGCAAAAAGUAAAUGUGAAACAUGCGGCCCGCUUCUGCUUGUUUUGACACCUCUUAUUUUGUUCUCCUGCAUACCUAAUUUCAUAAGGCUAGAGAGACCUUCUCCAUAGAACAAGAAUAAGAACAGACUCAACGGGUCCUCUUGUCGUAAUCCUCUUGAAGGAUAAAAGAAGUCUCCAUUAUGUCCAUUAAGGACCACUGAAUAUGAAACUCUAUUAACGCAUCUUAAUAGUUGGGUCACCAACUCUGAAUCAAAACCCAUUUUCUUUAUUAUUUCCUCCACAAAAUUUCAUUCCACCCUAUCAUAUGCCUUGCUCAUAUCCAACUUGACCGCCAUAAAACCCUUCUUCCCUGACCGCUUCUGUUUCAAUGUAUGGAUUAAUUCAUAAGCCAGCAACACGUUAUCUGAGAUCAAUCUCCCAGGCACGAAAGUGCUUUGUGCAGGAUCAAUGCAUUUGUCUAACACUUUCCGAAUGCGAUUAGCAAAAACUUUAGCCAUUAAUUUGAAGAUUACAUUACACAAACUAAUAGGCCUAAAGUGCGAUAUAUCUAUUGGAUUUGAAAUUUUCAGAAUUAAAACAAUAUUUGUUCUAUUGACUGGGCCUAUCUCCAUCUUUCCAUUCAGUUGAUCAAGACAAUAAGAAGUGACCUCCUCUCUGAUAAUUGCCCAACACUUCUGAUAGAAUAACGUUGGAAAUCCAUAUUCCCCUGGUGCCUUAGUGGGCCCUAAUUCUGCCAAAGCCUGCUGAAUUUCCUCCUUUGUAUAUCUCUCUUUUAACAUUAAAUUAUCUUCAUUUGAAAUACAUCGAUGAACUCCAGAUAAAACAUGCUCAUAAUUUGCAGAUAUGCCAGUGAAAAAUAACUGUUUGAAAUAUGAUCUAGCAAUCAUUUUCAUUUCUUUUCAUUCUUCCGUCUCCCUCCCAUCAUCGUUCUUCAUUUUGUGAAUCAGGUUCCUCUGUCGUUUCUGUGUAGCUUGUUUGUGGAAAAAGGCUGUAUUUUUAUCCCCAAAUUUUAACCAGUUAACCCUCGCUAUUUGUUCCCAAAAGCACUCAUCCUUUUCGAUCUCGAAGUUAAGUUGGAUCUUUGUAUCAAUCUGGUCGGCUAGAUUUUCUUCAUUUCUUUCUGCUUCUAGUAGUGAAGCCAAUUUUGAUGAUAACAACUUCUUCCUUUCUUUUCUAGAAAAUCGAAUUUGACUAGCCCAUCGCUCCAGCCCCCUUUUCAUACUGUCCAACUUGCUUAAAAACUCUCCUUCAGAAUGUCCCAUAUGUCUUUAACCGUAUUUUAAGAACGAGUCCUCCAGUACCCACCAUGCUUCAAAUUUGAAACAUUUUUGUAUUCUCUCUCUGCACCCCUUCUUUGUGUUAACCAGUAAUGGGCAAUGGUCAGAAAACGUAUAUGGAAGAUGUUGAAGCUAAAAAUCAGGAAAUAAAUGCAGCCAAUCUUCUGUCGCCACUCCUGUAUCUAACCGCUCUUGAAUAUUAUUUUCAGGUAAGUUCCCCCUUUCCCACGUAAACCAGUUUCCAAUAAACCCCAUAUCAGAUAAAUUAAAUUCCUCUAAAGUCUUACAAAAACCUUCCAUUCGUCCUUCCUCUCGCACUAAACCGCUUUUUUUUUCAAAACUAUACAGAAUUUCAUUAAAAUCUCCACAAAUCAUCCAUGGUAACUCCCUACCCAUACCUAACUGCCGUAAUAGGUUUCAUGUCUUAGCUCUAUCAUGUGAAUAUGGAGACCCAUAAAAACCUGUAAACCUCCGUUUGUAUCCUUCAUCCUCUUCAUCAAUGAUCACAUCAAUAUGCUGUUUUGAAAAACUCUGAAGCUGAAUAUUUUUAUACUCGCACCAAGCCAAACACAGCCCACCUCUAGAACCAUCUGAACUCACAUCAAUACCGUUUAAAAACCUACAACUCCUUCGAACUCUUUCCAUUUGAUUAUUACUUAUUUUUGUCUCCAUGAAGAAGACUACUUGGGGAUUAUAUAAGUUCAGUAUAUACCGAAAUCUCCGAAUUGUCCGUGGACUCCCCAAUCCACGGAUAUUCCAGCUUAGGAUUUUUAUUGCACUCGGUCGGCUUGCCACUUGGCAGCCACCGAUGAUUGAUGACUAACCUCUAUUGUUCUCCUACUCUUUGCCGCCAAAAUAUUUGUCUCCUCUUUGGUCAGAGCUGCUUCCAUCUCCCUUCUGUUUCUCUUCUUGCCCUCCUCACCAAUAAACACUUCAUCUUCAAGAUCAUGUUCCAUUGAGUUAUUCAUCAGAAUCCCACUCCAAUUCUCAUUUACUUCCCAUGUUUGAGAUCUACUUCCUACAAGGUUUAUCCUUAAUAUUGGUGUAACAGCCCAAUUUCGACUCUAAUCGAACAUAGUGGUUUCAGGACCACAACUCCAAGACCAAAAAAAAAUAUUUUAAUAUUAUUUUGUCUGUUUAUUUUGUGUGCAUUUGAUUGUGUGAAAUUUUCGUGUUUUAAUUUUGUUGUUUGAGUGUCCGAUUAAAUAAAAGGAUUAAAUCACGUAAAAUAAAAAUUUAAUGGUUAAAUAUGAAAGUGUCUAUUUGUUGUUGUCUUUAUAAUUUGGAGGAUUUAAGAAGCAAUUAGCCCACCAUUAGGUGAGUGGAUGGCAAUGGUCAAGAAUGACCUUAUAAUAUGUGUUAUACAUUAUAUUUUAACAAAGGUUAAUUAAGUAAAUUAAUUAUUAUGGUUAAUAUAUGUUAAAUAUAACAAAUUUAAAACAUGUUCUUCAUCUUUUUCUACCGAAACCAAGAGAGAAAAUAAGGGUUCAAAGCUUUGGAAAAUUCGGCACUUACAAAGCUUGAUUAAGGUAUGAAUAUUGUUCGGUUUUUGAUAAUUUUUAUGUUUUUGAGAUCGUUGCUUCGGGUACUAUUCGACCCAUGCUUGAAUUUUUGAUUUUGAUGAAUAUUUUGAGCUAUGCCAUUUAUGAAUAAUUGUGUUUUGUGAUGUUUGAUAAUGAAUAAUGAAAGAUAUGUUUUAGAUUAAUAUGUUUUGUAUUGGAAUUUUUGGUGAAAUUGAGUAAAUAGGGUGAAAUUGCAAAAAUAAUAUUUUUAGAGACUAAAAUGUGAAAUAAAUGAAAUGAGUGGACUUGUAUGAAGACAAGGAACAUUCGGCCCUAGCUUAGUGUGGGCAAAUUUUGUGUAUUUUGUGUUUUGUGCAAAAAGGACUAAAUUGCAAAAAGUGUAAAAUGUUAGGGGCAAAAUAGUAAUUUUCCCAUUUAUGUAUUUUUGGACUUAAUUGAAUAUUUUGAUGAAUAAAAAGGUUAAAUUUGAUUAUGUUUAGAUCAAUAAACAAAGAGAGCGGAUUUGGAUCGGGGAAAAACGAAAGUAAUCGAAUAGUCGAUCGUGUCCUUUGAUAUCCGAGGUAAGUCUAUUAGCAAUUUGAUGUUAUUAAAUCAGCAUAUAUGUAUGUAUAUCUAUUGUAUUUUGAUGAGUUGAAAUCGAAAGUAUAUAGAUUGAAUUUGGUUAAAGUAUGAAUGAUAUUUAUAUAUAUAUGUAUACAUAAGGUCCGAAUAUAUAUAAGUAUAUACAUGUAUAAACCCUUAGACUUGGUUAAAGGCAUGAAUGUUAUAUAUAUGUAUAUGUGAGUUGGAACAUAUAAGUAUAUACCUGAAUAAGUCUUGAAUAUAUUUAAAGGUAUGAAAGUUAUGUAUGUAUAUGUAAUUUCGAAUAUGUAUAUGUAUAUAUAUAUGCAUAUCUAUUGUUUAUUUGGUGAGCUAUAAUUAAAAGUAUAUGGAUCGAAAUUAGUUAAUGUAUGAAUGUUAUAUAUAUAUGCAUAAAUGAAGUUCGAACAUGUAUAUAUAUGUAUAUGAUCUUAAAUUUAGUUAAAGGUAAGACUGUUAUAUAUAUAUAAGAUUCGAAAAUGUAUAUAUUUAUGUAUAAGAUUUUGAAUUUAAUUAAAGGUAUGGACGAUAUAUUUAUAUAUAUAAGGUUCAAAUAUAUAUAUGUAUAUAUAUAGGUAUAAGUUUUUGAAUAGAAUUAAAAGUAUGAAUUCUAUAUAUAUAUACGUAGGUGUGAGGUUUGAAUAUAUAGUUAUGUGUAUAUAUAUGUAUUUGAAUUGAAUGUAAAGUAUGGACUUUACAUAUGCAUGUGUGUGGUUCGAAUAAAUAUAUAUACAUAUACAAAUACUUGAGUUGGAUUAAAAGUAUAAUUUGUAAAUGCUUAUAUGAUUCAAACAGGGAUUACAAAUUUCUUUUUGAGAUAAAGUUGAGGUUGUGAAUUAUACAUAAAUGUUAUGAACAUGUGUUGCUAUUAAGAAAUAUACGAGGAAAUCAUCUUUGUAUCUGUGAAAUUGAAAUUUUCAGGUUAAGCGCCUAGAAGGCUUAAUGCCGGUGAAUUUUUCAAAUUAUAAGUCUAGCAGGCUAAGUGCCGGUGAUUGAAAUCAGGUUAUAAACCUAGCAGGCUACGUGCCGGUGAUAUGAAUCAGGCUAUAAGCCUAGCAGGCUAAGUGCCGGUGAAUAUGUUAAAUUAUGUGAUUAUAUGCAUUAGAUAGAUUUAUAAAUAUAACUAAUUUUGGGUUAUAUAUAUAAUGAAUAAGUAUAUGAAUAUUUAUUUAUAUGUGUUCGAUGAGCUUAUAAAUGUUUCAACCUAUGAGUUUAGUGAAUAGGCAUAUAUAUAUUGGUUGAUAUGAAAAUUGUUGAAUAUACUUGUACGAAAUCGACACAUGUGGCUUAGAAGUAUAAAUGUGCAUAUGAUUCAUGUAGUUUAUAAGUGGAAAUAUAAGUUUUUGACAUAUGUUUUUGAAAGAUCAUAAACAAGCAUUCAAUGAAAUGCAAAUGAUAAGUAUAUUUGGAAUAUAUAUAUGCAAUUAAUGAUUAUGUAUGUAACUUGAUUUUUAGGUAUAUAAUGAUUAUACAUGUGAUCGUUUAUAUGUAUUUUGGUUAUGCUAUAAACUUACUAAGCUAUAAAAGCUUACUUUGAAUGUUUUUGUUCAUUUGUUUUAUAGAUUUUGGAGACGCGUUACGAGCUCGGGGAUCAUCAGCAUAGUCUAUCACACUAUCGACUUCUUUUGGUAUUUUAUUAACAGUUUGAACUCGAUCUUAUGGCAUGUAUAGGUUUGAGUAUGAUUUUGGUUAGAUUUGGAUUGUAUAUAUAUAUAAAUAGCCAUGCGAAGAUGGUUUAAUUUCCAUGUUUGUGAUCAGUUUGGUUUUUUUAAAAAAAUGGUUGUGUUUGUUCGGUAAUGCCUCGUAACCCUAAUUCGGCGACGGAUACGGGUUUGUCAUCAUUAUUAUCCAUAUUUUCAUUAUUAUCCCUAUUUUCCGCUAGAUCUCUUGAGUUAUUCCUUAUAAAUUGUCUUUUCCCAUUGUUCCCACGCCCCUGUUCCUCUCCUUCUUCUCGCAACCAUACGCUUGUCAUCAU
rnacentral:lncRNA from 1 species